rnacentral:rRNA from 1 species
GAUGAACGCUGGCGGCGUGCCUAAUACAUGCAAGUCGAGCGAACAGACGAGGAGCUUGCUCCUCUGACGUUAGCGGCGGACGGGUGAGUAACACGUGGAUAACCUACCUAUAAUACUGGGAUAACUUCGGGAAACCGGCGCUAAUAUCGGAUAAUAUAUUGAACCGCAUGGUUCAAUAGUGAAAGACGGUUUUGCUGUCACUUAUAGAUGGAUCCGCGCCGCAUUAGCUAGUUGGUAAGGUAACGGCUUACCAAGGCAACGAUGCGUAACCGACCUGAGAGGGUGAUCGGCCACACUGGAACUGAGACACGGUCCAGACUCCUACGGGAGGCAGCAGUAGGGAAUCUUCCGCAAUGGGCGAAAGCCUGACGGAGCAACGCCGCGUGAGUGAUGAAGGUCUUCGGAUCGUAAAACUCUGUUAUUAGGGAAGAACAAAUGUGUAAGUAACUAUGCACGUCUUGACGGUACCUAAUCAGAAAGGCACGGCUAACUACGUG